ensembl:misc_RNA Y_RNA Y RNA
AGCUGGUCCAAGUGUAGUGGUAUUUAUGUCUAACUGAUUAUAACCCAUUAUGGAUUCCUUUGCUUCUUUUCCACUCCUAUCUCUUCACUUGACUAGCCAAUA